rnacentral:rRNA from 1 species
GGGUCGAUAAAAGCGUGCGCAGGCGGUUCUGUAACGUCAGAUGUGGAAAUCCCCGGGGCUUAACCUGGGAACUGCGUUUGAAACUGCAGAGCUAGAGUGCGGCAGAGGGAGGUGGAAUUCCAUGUGUAGCAGUGAAAUGCGUAGAGAUAUGGAAGAACAUCGAUGGCGAAGGCAACCUCCUGGGCUAGCACUGACGCUCAUGCACGAAAGCGUGGGGAGCAAACAGGAUUAGAUACCCUGGUAGUCCACGCCCUAAACUAUGUCAACUAGUUGUCGGGUCUUAAUAGACUUGGUAACGUAGCUAACGCGUGAAGUUGACCGCCUGGGGAGUACGGUCGCAAGAUUAAAACU